AACCAUUCUCACCUGCGGCUAGACCUGCGGAAGGAUCAUUACAGAGUUGCAAGACUCCCUAAACCAUUGUGAACCUACCUUCUACCGUUGCUUCGGCGGGCGGGCCCAGCGCCCCCCCCGGCCCCCCGCGGGCGCCCGCCGGAGGAUACCCAAACUCUUGACAUUAGUGGCCUCUCUGAGUAUUCUUUACUGAAUAAGUCAAAACUUUCAGCAACGGAUCU
rnacentral:misc_RNA from 1 species